rnacentral:rRNA from 1 species
GGAAUAUUGCACAAUGGGCGCAAGCCUGAUGCAGCAACGCCGCGUGAGGGACGACGGCCUUCGGGUUGUAAACCUCUUUUAGUAGGGAAGAAGCGAAAGUGACGGUACCUGCAGAAAAAGCACCGGCUAACUACGUGCCAGCAGCCGCGGUAAUACGUAGGGUGCAAGCGUUGUCCGGAAUUAUUGGGCGUAAAGAGCUCGUAGGCGGUUUGUCGCGUCUGCUGUGAAAACCCGAGGCUCAACCUCGGGCCUGCAGUGGGUACGGGCAGACUAGAGUGCGGUAGGGGAGAUUGGAAUUCCUGGUGUAGCGGUGGAAUGCGCAGAUAUCAGGAGGAACACCAAUGGCGAGGGCAGAUCUCUGGGCAUCUACUGACGCUGAGGAGCGAAAGCAUGGGGAGCGAACAGGAUUAGAUACCCCGG